AACGAACGCUGGCGGCGCGUCUUAAACAUGCAAGUCGAACGAUCUGUAGCAAUACAGGGAGUGGCGGACGGGUGAGGAACACGUAGGAAUCUACCUAGAAGAGCGGGACAACCUUGGGAAACCGGGGCUAAUACCGCAUAGUACAGUGAUGUUAAAGGGCUAGCAAUAGUCGCUUCUAGAUGAGCCUGCGGUCUAUCAGCUUGUUGGCGGGUAACGGCCCACCAAGGCUACGACGGAUAGCCGGUCUGAGAGGAUGAUCGGCCACACUGGCACUGAGACACGGGCCAGACUCCUACGGGAGGCAGCAGUUAAGAAUCUUGCGCAAUGGACGAAAGUCUGACGCAGCGACGCCGCGUGAAGGAUGAAGGCUUUCGGGUUGUAAACUUCGGUAGACUGGGAAGAAAAAGUAAGUUACGUUGUAGGG
rnacentral:rRNA from 1 species